rnacentral:rRNA from 1 species
GGGGAAUAUUGGGCAAUGGGCGGAAGCCUGACCCAGCGACGCCGCGUGAGGGACGAAGGCCUUCGGGUUGUAAACCUCUUUCAGUAGGGAAGAAGCGAAAGUGACGGUACCUACAGAAGAAACACCGGCUAACUACGUGCCAGCAGCCGCGGUAAUACGUAGGGUGCAAGCGUUGUCCGGAAUUAUUGGGCGUAAAGAGCUCGUAGGUGGUUUGCCACGUCGGAUGUGAAAACCUGAGGCUUAACCUCAGGCCUGCAUUCGAUACGGGCAGACUAGAGUGUGGUAGGGGAGACUGGAAUUCCUGGUGUAGCGGUGAAAUGCGCAGAUAUCAGGAGGAACACCGAUGGCGAAGGCAGGUCUCUGGGCCAUAACUGACACUGAGGAGCGAAAGCGUGGGGAGCAAACAGGAUUAGAUACCCUGGUAGUCCACGCCGUAAACGGUGGGCACUAGAUGUGGGGACCUUCCACGGUCUCCGCGUCGCAGCUAACGCAUUAAGUGCCCCGCCUGGGGAGUACGGCCGCAAGGCUAAAACUCAAUGAAUUUUGGACGGCCCC